GUGCCAGCCGCUGCGGUAAUACAUAGGUGGCAAGCGUUAUCCGGAUUUAUUGGGCGUAUAGGGUGCGUAGGCGGUUUUGCAAGUUUGUGGUCAAAUCCCGAGGCUCAACCUCGGUUCGCCAUGAAAACUGCAUCACUAGAAUACAAGAGAGGUAAACGGAAUUCCAUGUGUAGCGGUGAAAUGCGUAGAUAUAUGGAAGAACACCUGUGGCGAAAGCGGUUUACUGGCUUGUUAUUGACGCUGGAGCAACGAAAGCGGUGGGGAGACAAAGUAGGUAUUAGACUACCCUAGUACGUCCACGACCGUUAAACGUUGA
rnacentral:rRNA from 1 species